UUUGAGGUUCCUGAUAAAUUAGGCACAGAUCUCCUGAGCAAGUCCCUAGUUCUGUGUGACUGUUCCCACAGAUUCUGGUUUUGUGCACGUGUUCCCCAUGCACAUACCUUUUAGCAUCAGAAAAGCAAGGCUGGAAGGCACCUCAGGAGGUCAUCUAGCAGCGUCAGCCCUGACAACCAGUAAGAGUUUGUCUAUCUUGCUCUUAAAGAUUUACAAUGAUGUUAGGGUUGCCUAGCCUGGUGGGUUCUCCAGGUUUGGGGUUGUGUUUCUUGAAGAGCUCCUCCACCAGUCCUCCCAAAUAAAGCAUAGUAUUUAAGCAGCCAACAACCAAAUAAACUAAACAGCCUUUGUGCUUGGUCCUGGGCACUUGGGCUCUGGCCCCAGCACAGCAGCUUGGCCCCUUCCUGUAGCAAGCUGUUCUGCUCACAGCUUGUUUCCUCCUCCUUUGCUUGCUCUUCUGGGAGCUUUAAUCUCCUAGCAGGAUGCUCCCUGCCUAGUCAGUGCCCCACAGCUGGGCUUUCCCUGCAGGGCUGACUGUUCUCUCUUAAAGGGACAGACCACCUUGUUACAGAUGUGGGCUCUCCAUUCCACAACCUCUGAGUAGCCUGUUCCAAUGCUUAACCACCAUCGCAGUGUGAAAGUUCUUCCUAAAUUUCCGCUUAAAUUUCCUCCGCUGCAAUUUAACCCCACUGAGAUUCUAAGACUUAUCUGUGGCCACAACAGGGCAUCUCCAGCCUCUUUAUAACCACCCUUGAGGUGUUUGAAGGCUGUUAUCAAAUCCCCCCCUCCCUACCUCGUUGCAGCAGCAUAACAACGUGGCGGGGCACCUGGGGUAGUGGCAGCUUUUGUUUGCCACUGUUGCCAUGAUAAUAAUCACCUUUUUUGUGCUCCCCUGCCCCCACCAUGCCUGUCAGCACCCAGGGAUAUUGCCCCUGUCAUCUCACCCUAGUUACACCACUGCUUAGUUAUCUUUUCUCCGACUAAAUAAUCAUAGUUUUUUCAGCCUUGUAAAAUGUGUUUAUACUCUCCACUAGGCUCUCUUGAAGUGUGGAGCCCAAAACUGGCUGCAGUACUCCAGGCCUCACUGGUGCUGCAAAGGAGGGGAAGGAUAGAUUCUCUUGAUCAGUAAAUGGUACUUCUGUUAAUACAACUCAGUAUGCUGCUGGCUUUUUUUUUUUUGGCAACAAGAACAUACUGAAUAGUAACAUCUGUUUGUACCUGCAGCCACCAUAGAUGAGGGUGUUUGGGACAAGGUGGAUGCAGCCAGCACUUAGAAUAUGUCUACACACCACAGAAGUGACCGCAGUGUCGUGCAGAGACACAAAGCUAAUUUUCAAUUAGUUAUCUUGGGUGCUAGUAGUAAUCUAGCUUCGGGAGCACAGGACUCAAUAGACUUGCACACCUUGGCAAGAAUAAAAAAAAAUCUACUACCCUUUGCUCCAAUGUAGAAAGGAAUAUAUUUUAUAUCCAAUCAAGAUAAGGCCAGCAUUCCAGUCAGAGCAGCUUGCUUGACUUAAUCCAAACCCAAGGCCUUAGGAUCAUAGAAAACAAGGCUGGAAGGUACCUCAUCAUAAAAUCAAAAAAGUAGGGUCGGAGGAGACUUGAGCAGAUCAUCUAGUCUGACCCCCUGCCUGGGGCAUGAAUGAACAUAGGGCUCUUAUGACCCCUACUAAGUUUAAGCUCAAAUGACCCCAGCUAGGUAGUUAUCAAGCCUCCUUUUAAAGACCUCUAAGGUAGGCGCCAGCACCACUUCCCUUGGAAGCUGGUUCCAGAUCUUGGCUGCCCUGACUGUGAAGUAGUGCCUCCUGAUGUCUAGCCUGAGCAAGAGAUUGUCUAAUCCAAAUCCUUGCUGAAGGCAGGCCUGUCCAUAUCUAAACCAUCUCACUAAGCGUUUGCCUGACCUGCUUUUAAAAAACUUCCAGUGCUGAAGAUUCCACAGCUUUUCUGUAGCUUAUUAUAGCGCUUAACCACCUUCAUAGUUACAGAAUUCUUCAUAAACCUCCCUUGUUGCCAUUUACAACUGUUAUUGCUUAUUCUAUCCUCUGUGGCCACAGAAUAAUUGAUCACUGUUAUUUUUAAAACUUCAUAUUUGAAGAUUUUUAUCAAAUCCCCCCCUCAGUCUUCUGUUUCUUACGCUAAAUUAUCCCUUUCUUACUUUAUAUGUUGCAUGUUUUUUAGAUAUCUAUUUAUUGUUGAUGCUGUCUACUGGGCUUCUAAUUUGUUCAUGUCUUUCUUGAAGUACAGUGCCCAAAACUUGCAGUAGUCCAGGUGAAGCUGGACCAGUGCUGAAUUGAGCAGAAGAAUCACUUCCUGUGGCUUACAUAUGAUACUCCUGUUAACAGUGUACUCCCAGUAUGCUGUUAGGUUCCUGAGUUUGUAAUCUAAACUUGGAACUCCAUUUUCUGGGCCCACCUCCAAAUGUCUGAUCUCCUUCCUAAUGCUGACAUGAGAUGAAAACCUAAUAGUAAAAUGAACUGAGAAACCCUUACAGAUUUCUGAGAAGUCUGUUCCAUUUCAUAUAAAUUGGUUAUCACUAUUUAAAAAAAUUAAAAAUAGAUCUAUUUCAGGAAUUCAGUAGAAGGAGGAAAAGCAGAUUCAUAGCUUGUAAGGGGCUGGAAGGGCCAUCGUAGGAUCAUCAGUCCAGCCCCCUGCACCAAGCAGGAAAGACAACUGGGGUCAUGUGAUCCCAGCUAGGUGACCAUCCAGUCUCCUCGUUGUCUCGGACGGCCUAAGCCGACUCGAGGUGAUUUAAUAAUUACUCGUCCGUCGGGUGGGCUGGUGAAUAGAGAGGCCGAGAAAGCUUUAUGGUUGUAAAACUUUACUUACGUCGCUUGCGGUUGCAACAAAAACGGUCCGGUCAUCUGAACAACUACGUUAGCUGUUCCAGCUGGCAGGGCUCAGGCCAGCACGUCCAUCUACAAAUCAGGCCGGCAGGGAAAAGGAUACGUCUGGGAUUGCGCUCGGCGACGGGGAGAAGAAUCGAUAGGUGAUCAGUCUAUCGAUCAGCUCAGCCACGAGUCAGAUCUCUUCAGAGGCACUCUGCAGUGUGCUCAAAGUUCUCCAACUUGGGCAGAAGUCACGUGAAUUUUGAAACAGCUAGCAAGCCAAUUACUAGCCGCCACGUGUGCAUAAUUUAGAGCUGGCCAAUAGCGGGACACAAAUUUGCAUUCGAAUGGCGGGAACUCUCUUGCACCGGGGGUUUUCUGCUGCAACAGAAAACCUCUAUUUUGCAAGAGGCUCUCAUGUGGCGGGAAAAUUCCACCGUGCCGAGGCACCAAAAUCACUGGGUUGUGACACUCGUGAAGAUUUCCAGGGUAGACGAUUGCACCACCUCUGGAGGGAGUUUAUUCCAGUCUGAGCACUCGAACUGUAAAAAAGUUUUUUCUAAUGUUAAGCCUGAAACUAUCUUCCAGGAGUUUGUGGCCAUUACUCCUGGUUUUCCCUAAAGGUGCCUUGGUGAACAAUUGUUUGCCGAACCCUUGAUGUAUUCCCCUGAUGUAGUGUUAAGCUGCUACCAAGUCCCCUCUCAGCCUUCUCUUUUUUAGGCUGAAGAGACCAAAGUCCCUCAGCCUUUCCUUGUAUGGCUUGCCUUGCAAGUCUCUGAUUAUACAGGUGCCCUUCUCUAGACUCUCUCCAGCUUUUCCAUGUCCUUGUUGAAGUGUGGUGCCUGGAACCAGAUGCAGUACUCCAGCUAUGGUCUCACCAAUGCCGAGUAAAGCGGAAGAAUCACUUCCUUGGUUUUGCUUAAGAUGCAACGGUUGAUGCAUGCCAGAGUACUAUUUGCCUUGCUGGCUACAGCAUUAUACUGAUGGCUCAUAUUCAUACUAUGGUCUAUUAUGCCUAGGUCCCUUUCAGUCAUGGUGCUAGUCAGUUUGGCACCACCAAGCGUGUAUGUUAGGGAUUGUUCAUCCCCAUAUAGAGCACUUAACACUUCACACUUUACUUUAGCACUGUUCCUUUAUGCAAUAGAAAUGUAGAGCUGCUUCUUGAGUUGGAUUUCAGCUUGUGUUGUCCAUCCAUGUUUACAGAAAAGUUUACAUAUAUUUCAUUUGUAGAGGAAUACAGCCAUGAAAAGGAAAAUGUAAUCAGUUACUUAUCCAGAGACCUAGUUAGACUGGAGGUGCCAGAAUAAUACCUAAACUACAGACAUGUUUUUCUUGCUAGAUAAAUUAAUAUUCAUGUGGCAGAGAAUUCCAAUGGUUCUGUGUACGUGACAUAUUUUUGGUUUAUAAUCUAUGAACAUGUGCUGUUAAAACGGUAGGGAGUUACUAGACACAAAGCAUAGCUGAGUAUCUCUAAAAGAUACUUUAGGUAUCUGUAAGGUUGCUAAAAGGUGGCUCUGAAAGGUUGCUAAAAGGUAAGGUACUUCAAAUAAUAAAACCCGAGGGAAAAAAAACAUGCAAAAAAAAGCAUGUUGUGUGUAUAUGGCUAGAUUCUAUACAUCUACAGUACCCAGGUUACUGGAUAACAUUUUUUAAAAAGUAUUUUUAACAUGUAUUUCAUUGUAUAAGGUGUUAGCUUUGAAUAUAAAACCUAGAGCACCUCAGUCAACUUAUCAAAAGGCAGUUCAAAAGGCAUGCAAACUUAUGGCUUCAUAACCCCACAUUUCCUUCAUACAUAUAAUCAGCAUCUGGGUAAUGGAUUUCUGCUUCCCUUGGAAAAUAGUCUUGAAAUUUAUUUCAUAAAUAUCUAUUUUACAGGCAUGCCUUUGUGAUAGCCAUAUCCUCGUGCUUAGUUACAAAUGGCUGGAAGAACACUGUAUUAUUAAUUGCCCCAAGCGAAUGCUUUCAGCAUGAAUAUUCUUUUAAAUGUAGAGAGAAAAUCAAUUUUGAACUUUCAAGUUUGUAGCUUUUAUGUGCUGUUCCAUUCACGCAUGCACAAUUUAUAAGUCUUUAUGUGCUUUGCUGGGAUUCUGUAUCUUUCCCAAUUGCUCCAGUAUUGCUUGUGAAACAGGAGCAAAUACCAGCUUCUGUUAUAACAGAAAAGCUAAUUAGGAUGAUUUGUCUUCUACUGAGGUGUGAACUAAAUUCUACAGUUUCUGAUUGUCUGAAGGAUUUGAAUGCUAUAUGAAAAGGGGUAAUUAAUGGGAGAUAUUUAUCAGGACACUAACUCUGGUCCAUAUCUUAAUCACUAAGGUACUAAUCAUAUAAUCAGGGGCAUAACAGGUCAGCUUCAUACCCUGAGUGGUGACAGUUUAUCCUCCAUCCGUUUAAAGUAUUUUUUUAGUUAAGAACUACUCCUGUUUUUCUGCAUCUUGUUUCGUUAUCCCUGUAUUUCUUGGAGUUGCAGUGGAUAAUGCAAACCCCAUGUUUUAUCUUCAAAAGUACCUGCCACCUAAUGUGAUGCGUUUAAAUCAGGUAGAUAUGUAAGCUAAUACAUUAAUGCAUGUACCACUGCAUGUAUUUUCCAUAUACAGACUGAACCUCUGAACCUAGUCAGCAGAAAGGAUCUUUGAGAGUAUGAAGGUGUUGCAGGAAAAGAAUCAAUAUAUAGCUUACCAACUGCAUAACCUAUCUCCACACACACAUCUCAUCAUCUUUACAGUCUCUCUUCAAUGCUUAUUCUCUGAUGUGUAUUUCGAAUUCCAUUUAAUUUUAAAUUGGUACUCACCUCGAAAUAUAAUUUGAGCACAAUGCUGCACAACAUUUUUUCUCUUUAAAUCGUGAGUUUGUUCAAUAUUAGAGGUGGUGUAUGUUAAUUUCUGUCUAAUGCUAAGUAUGUUAUAAUAAUAGGUUGUUAAUUGGCUCUCUCCAUACAGAAUUGUAAACUAUACAUGCUUUUUCGGUGCCUUAGUUGGCCAGACUAAUCCCUGAAGUAAUACCAUUAAUUCAAAUGAAAUUACCAUAAAGAUAUAUUUUGUUCUGUAGUUUUAUUAUUUAACAGUGCAUUAAAACAAUAAUGCACUCAGGAACCCCUUGAGUACCGAAUAAUGCACCCUUUGAAUUUCAGGCUGUAGAAUUAUUAAGAGCCAUGGAUCCAAACUUGACCGUUCUGGUAUUGUUUUCAGGUUAAAUCCAAAACUAGAAGGGACCCAUUGUCCAAAUCCAUUCUAAAUGAGGUUGAUAUUUAUUCAGUGCAACCAUUCUCAUGUAAUUUCUGCCCAAAAUGAUAGAAAGCCCCUAAGUUGAGCUGAUCAUACUAUUUAUUUUCCUUUUUUUCAUUCUACUAAAGGAAACUUGCAAAAACAGCCCCUGAAAUCAUGUUGAUCUCAUUGAAUCCCAACCGCAUCCUUGAACUGAGACCUUACCCUGACCUAACCCUGAUACAAAACUGCCUCCUGGGUCUUUUUUUUCUAUUUGGACUCAACUGAAUUUAGCAGAGAAUUAAGAGUGACAAAUUGGGACAUGCGGAAGAGAGAUGCUCUUAUGACAAAAUGUAUUUAUGCAGGUUAUAUUUUUAUCAGCUUACUCUUUAGGAGUUACCAACCUAUAGAGUAGCAGAAUGGCAGCUCCAAUACAGGUAGGGUUAAGAAUCACCUCCUGUUUAAAGGCUUUUUUUGGUGUGAAAAAACCCAUGAACUUAUUGUGAUUAUGUUAAAACUAUUUUCCUCAUGGGAGUGUAGAAUAGGGGUCUAGUUGCAAAUUUGGGAUUUUUGAGCAGGGCUUACCUAAGCACAGCUCCCUCUGCCCCCUCGUUUCUCCCCAUAAGGGAACUAAAACCAAACCCUGUAAUUUCUUAUGGUUGAUUAAUUCUUACAGCAGGCUUGUCUUCACUCCCCUGCAUAUAUGGGAGUGUAAGCAGUAUUUUGUUUGUACCUCAAGUGGUCUCAUUCACUUUACCUUGAUCUAGCCCAUGGGACCUUCUGCCCCUGUGGAGGAGUAAAAAUGAAAACAGUAUUUGGGAAAGAGCUGGGCUUUCUGGAUAGGCACGUGCCUGCUGCUCUAUAGAUAACGCUAUAUCUGAGUAAACUUAGGGCCAGAUUCUAUUUCACCUAUAUGUGCCUUAAGUGGAUUUAGGCAGACAAGGUUCCUUGGGUGAAUUUGAUAUCUUUUAUUAGACGAACCCAAAUAGUUGGAGAAUAGUUAUUAAGCAAGCUUUCGGGUUCAAAAACCCUUCGUCAGGCUAAGGAAGCUUCAGCAGUUGGUGUGUGCUCUUCCUGGAUGGAAUAAAAAGUGGAUUUAGGCACCUAAAUGCAAUCCUAUUCCAACCUGCUUGGUCCUUGAAAAACUUAAUGCAAAAAUUGGGUGAUUCAGUCUUUAUGACUCAAUCUUAAAGACCAGAUGAUGGUAUGUUAUGAAAGCACAUAGUGUUUUUGUGAGCUGUUAGGUACCUGUCACAACAAACUAACAGGUUUUCAGGUGCUUGAACAUGAUAGAACAGAAUUGCAUUUAGUUGCCUAAAUCCACUGAAGUGCCCAAUAAGCAAAUAGGAUCUGACUUCUGAAACAUAGAUGAGUACAUUUUGCACUCCGUCGUAAUGCUUACUAGGUCCCACAAACUGCUGCCGGGAGUGGAAGGUGGAGGGGUUUAUAUUGAUAGUAGCGUACUGUAUUACAACCCUGUACUGCUGCACAAGAUAGACUGAGGAAGAUGUAGUGUUUGUGGAUUCAUCCAGUGGAUUCUCACCAGCAGAGGCCUAUUUUUAAAUCUUGUUUAGAACACAUGUAGAAUAAAUCCAGUUAACUGCUUUUUUUAGUGCAUUUUGACUUGUUGGGAAAAACCCUCACUCAAAACGGGAGGUUUCAGGAAAGGCCCAGUUUGCUUGGUUUAGCUGAGCUAUGGAAGAAUCAUCUUCAUGAGCACUGAAAUUCGCUAUCUUGUUUUUUGUAGAGACUUCAGGAUGAAUUGAUGUCAACAGGAUGGGUAAACUGAUCUUGAACUAAAUAAAUUUUCUACCGACUGCUAAAGUUUUUAGAAAUACUUGUUUGAAACCUGAGGGAAUGAGGCCAUAUCUCUUGGAUCAAAAGUCAAGAGUUUAAAAUUAGACUUUUGAUUGAAAGAUCAAUUGAUGUUUCAUCUAUCCUUAUCCCAUGAAUUAAGUAUUUAUUCAGUAUUAUAACAGGGAGCUAAAGGAUGGAUUUUACAUUACGGUCUCCAGUGAAUUAGAAAUGCAAUAGAAAUACAUAUGGGAAAUCGUAAAAUUAAAAGAAAAAAUACUUCAUAAAUUGGAAUGUUGGGGUUGCUAAAACUUUUGCUUCUGUGUCACAUUCAGUUUGUCCCAAGCAGUAAAAACAAAAGGCUUGAAAAUUGCUAAACAAGUUGCAGGGCAAACUAUAGGGAUGAUAAAAAUCAGUAGUUUGUAAAAUUCUUCUCCUGCAGGGAAAGAUGCUUUUUUGAUGACAUAUGAAAGCAAGCUCCUGACCAACUGUUGUCAUUAAGAAGCCCACAAUGCUUUCACAAGAACAGGAAUGUUCAUACCAGUUUCCUGGCCAAAUUCUACUCAGAGUUAAUUAUAUUAGCCCUUCCCAAAUUUUCCCUGCUACCCUCCUGAGUUUAAUUUGAUAUGUUAUUAUUUAGUUCCUCUCCUAAACUACUACUACGCAGUGAUUUUUUGGACUGUUAAACCACUGCCACCAUGUUCAGCCACAGAGAGGCUGUACUUCAUUGUUGUUCUAAAUUAUUGCUAUAUUGUACCAAUGGUUUUUAUCGUUCUUUGAGGUAAGUCUGGACUGUGUAAACACAUCGGGAAGAAGGAGGCCAUGUCUACCAGGAGUGUUUUUCUGGCAUAGGAACACCGACAUGCUAUGCCAGCAAAGCACUCCUAGCACAGUAUAGUCAUAUCAACAAGUCUGUGAUUGGAACUGUUACAGGCAACCCCUGCUUAACACUGUUUCACUUAGCACUAUUUCUCUAUAACACUCAUUUAAAAUUGAUACCUGAUUUCACUUAGCACUCAGUGAGUUUUGUUAUAACACUCACGGUCACCAUCUUGGGUCGUUAAAAACAAUUGUGGUCGCCAUCUUGGGCCAUCAAAUAGUUUCGGUUUCGCUUAACAUUCGUUUCGCUUAACGCUCAGUUUUUCAGGAACCAAUUAAGAGCGCUAAGCGGGAGUUGCCUGUAUAGUAAAACAAUGGGGAAAAAGAUGGUUUCGCUGUUACACCUACAUCUAUACAAUGAGCGUCUGCCAGUGCCACUGUGUCUGUGAAGAAUCAUACCACUUCACCAUCCUGGCAUACACAGAAGUGCCAAAAGAAUUGUGUUGCAGAGAUAUAGCCAAAGUCAGUAAGAUUCAAAUUAGAAACAGGAUGCAGAUUUUGAGCAGCAAAAUUAAUUAACUACUUGAACAGCUCACAAGUUCUCAGCUGAUGUCUUUAAAGCAAGUAUGAAUAUCUUGGUAGAAAAUGCAUUCUGUUUCAACCACCAGUUUUCAAGCAGGCAUUUCACUAAAAAUGAUCAUACUUGGUCUUAAAAGUCCAUGAAUUUAACAGAACUGGCAUACUGCUCUGCUCAGGCACCAUCAACACUGUCUAAUUUCAGACAAGAAGCUGAUGCUUAUCUUCAAGGUUCUCAAUAGCCUUUGACCUGAUUAAUUUAGAGUACCUCCCUCCCUAUCCACCAUCCAGAACACAGCAGUACUCACAGGAAAACACGUAGAUUGAAAGUACUAUCAACUUAGAUUCAGGAGCUGGAGAUGAGAUGUUGUAUCAGGUCUUAAUCAAUGGAGCAACUUGCUGAAGGAGAUCAUGUUGAGCUCUAGUCUGUGAGCUUUCAGAAUGCAGUUCCAUUUUUUAGGACACCUGCCUACAAUUAAUAGAAAUGGAAGGAAAGGAAGCAUAAAGAAGAGCAGGGGAAAUGCAGGUUUCAGUAGCUGAAAUUUAGGACAGCUAAAGCAGAGUUCAGUUCCAUGACUGUUGAGCUUACCUUAAAGUUGCAUUUGGUCCCUAGAUAAAUAUUGUGAUAUCUAAUGCCUGCUAAAGAUGGAGUAGAUACACAUGCUUGGAUUAAAUGAAUAAAUGUUACAUCGAGCACAGAAAAGAAGGGAAAUCCUUAGUAAGGGUUUGCCAGCUGGGAUACUACAACAAAAAUUUCCCAUGGCAUUGCAUAUAACCAAAUAUAUUUUCUGUUCUUCCUUUAAGUGUGUGAUUAGAAUUGGAAUAAAUAGAUACAUUCAGGAAUAUUGAUUUGUUACUAUUUGAGCUGACUCCAGCAUCUGUGCACUGCAAUUCUCUCCCCCUCCCACACAGCACUCCCACGCAGGUCAUUUCAAAUAGCUAAGUAGGGCCACAACAGUGAAAAUGCUUUGUUUCAGACCCAACAUCCUGGCAGUUGACUGCAGAGCACUGCCACCAUAUCAAGCAUCUGAAUUCCACAGUUUGUGUCAAAUGUCAGAAAAUAAAAACGUUUGCUUAGUUUUGUGUGCAUGUGAAGUAUAGUAUAUACAGAGAGUUUUAUCAAAGAUUUUUAUCUUCAUGAAUUCACCUGAAGAUGAUAACAACUUUGCUAUUUUGUAUUCCUCACUUUCUAGAGCUACAUUAAGGUCUAGCUGUGGUAAAUGGACAGAAACCUGCCUACAAGUCAGUGCUGUUUUACCACUAAAAUGGGGCUGGAAUUAUAAAGCAGGGCACUCAGCUACCACACUGAAGAGCACACCAUAAGAACCCAGUAAAAACAGAAAGCCUUAUCCCUCUCUAUGGCAGCUGGAGUUUUCUGAGAAAACAGAUAGCCUAAGUAACCUUGAGCAUCACUGGGCCUGAAGCACAUCUGCUGAAGUAUUAGCUAUAAGGCUGAAGUGUGCUCUAAAUUGAACUGGACAUAAAGAAUAUCUUAAAGAGCAUUUCCCUUGCAAGAUUAGAGAAGAAAAAUUCAAAGCUUGAGCAGAGUGGUGAGUGUCUAUCUCAUGUCUCCUUCAUCUAGUAGGAAUAUUUGUUUCCCGUUGAAGAAAUGAAAGCCAGAAAUAUAUUUUUAAGAGAGAAAACUUACAGCAAAUGACUGACAUCCAGCUUUCUGCCAAGCUCCUAUCACACAGAUUGCUUCCAGACAGACUAGUUGAUGGCUGCAUGUAGCUGCUGCAUUGUGUCUCUUUUUUCUGCCUCACAGUUAUUUUACAGCCCCUGAAUCUGAUUUCUCUUUUUAAAAAAACUCAAGUCCAUCAAGGGGUACUUAUUUUGCUAAUGUCAUCUUAGGUUGGGAAAUAUUAUUUAGAGAGAAAGCACUUUGGAAAUAUUUCAUUUGCAGCUAGAGUUUUAUGUUUUGGGAAAUUACACACUUGGGAAUAUAACUUUUAUCAUAGUGUGUGCGAUGUUUAACAUUAAUUUAUCUUGUGGUACAGAUGCAUGCUCAGUGAAAUGGUCCAUAGUCUGGCCUGCGUGUGCAUGUAAAUUCAUCCCCUUCUGUAUCUUGAUUUGCAUAUAAAAUGUAGGCUUAUUAUCCAUAAAUAAUUUGGACUUUCCAUGUCCAUAAAGACCUUAGUUUUUUCAGCGUUUGCUCAUAGUAGUGUCACUGAAAGGAGUAAGAGACACAAGAUGCAGCCCUUUGUAGAAACAAAUAAUAAUGCACAUCCUGGAGAAUCAGCCACACUAUCUGAACGGUGUAAGCUUCAAAACAGAAAUAGAUUAUAUUUAGCAUACAGAAAUGGAAAUUAGUAGAGCAUGGGCUAAAUAACAGUUUAAAAGAUGGUCCUAUGGUGUAAUUUGUUAGGCUGUAAAAUAAAUACCCAAAGGAAGGUGAUUGGCAAAACCUGAGUUGCAACAAAACACUAAUAUAAACCCAGGAGGCUCUAAUACUGUAUUAGCAGAGAAUGGAAUGGGUCACUUACUAGCUCUCGACUCUCUAGGUUCCGUAGGCUGCAGCGUAGACCCAGAACAUCUCCAAAGAACUUUAAAUAGCAUCUCUUAUGCAAGAAAGAAGCAAGUCUGACUGAAAGAGCCAAGAUAAAUUGACUUUUCACAUUUUCUGAAAGAUUCAGUUACUGAGAUUGUUAUCUACUCAAAGGAAAUUACCCAUUUAUCUCCAUUUUAAGUGAAAAUAUUCUUCUAGUCUAACAGUAACUUAUUCCAUUAGUCCUUUCAAGUUCUCAUUGACCUAUCACAUUAGCACUAUAAUAUGCUUUACUGCUAGAAUAAUUAAUAAACAGAAAAUACUUUCUUGCAUGAAAACAAAACUAUGUACCAGGUUAUGUGUUCCUUUUUAAGUGAUCUGCUAUACCAAGUAAAUCAAUAAUUUGUUUUCCUUUCACUGACUUGCUGGGCUUCCAGAGGCAGGAAUAUUCUGUUAUUUGUUCUGAUGGAGGCAUCUUUUUCCGCACCUCUACCUUAGAUCUCAGACCUCUCUAACCUGGUUCCCCUGUGUGUAUGUAGGAUGAAUGUUUGCACUGUAACUCAGAAAGGACUAAAGUUGUUUCUGCCCCAGGAUUUAUUGCUAAAAAGAAGUAGUCAUUCAUUUUUAUUUGAUUUAAGAAGCAGACCAGAUUCUUAUGGAUCUCCCAUAAAAUUUAAAAAUUCUGGAGCUGGGACUCAAAAUAUCACCAACAAAUAAAAAACAUACCCGUUCAUAUUUUAUUUUUAAAUAACAACAUUUGAGUUUUUAAGCUUUCAUUGCUUUCUUGUUACUGAGCUUUUAGGGUGAGCUUGGGUCACGUUUUGACUGGAACUCUCAGGAUCAGAAUUUUUUUUUAAAUGAGAGAUGAAAUUCUUGGAUAAUUACAUGACUACAGAAGCUAGCCCUAUAAGGAAAGGCCCAAAUAUUGAUAGAUUUGUAAUAGAAUCAAACAUGAUGGCCACACUUGGUUUUUUUUCUCCCUGCAAACCUGACAGAAUUUUUUUUUCACUUCUGCUACCACUGAGUCUCAAUAGCAUGCAUUCAUCUAUGUUACCUGUGAAAUCAAUAUUUGCUAACAAGUCCUAUAUACACAUUUCUGAAGUCUGAAGAAGGGGCAUUCUUAGUGCAAGAUCCUUGACUCUGGACUACAGCUUGGGUGCAAAUAUAUUCUCUAAUAGUUGUUCAGCAUAACAAAAGGCCAACUCUGACUGUUUGUGUAAAAUUGUUUAUAAAUAUUAAUAAAAGACUGAAUUCAUCCGAACAAAAAGACCCACUAGUACAACCCCAAAGACUGUGUUAAGAUCAGGUCUACCUAUCCCCUACAUUUUUGCCUCCAAUCGAUGGAUGAAAAUGGGUUUGCUGGAAUUUGGAAUGAAUUAGUGGCCAAAACGAUGAAAAGAUGAGCUAUUCCACCCAUCAUGUCUUUCUGGGGUCCUUAGUUUCACAAGCAAAAAUUUGAUACUGAUGCUAAAAUGAUGCCUAGACUGAUAGGCUGUCACUGCUACUGUUUCCUGGGCUCCUGAUAUCUACCAUUACUCUGUUGGGUUUUCAUCAUCCUUAUCCUGAGAGAUGUCAUAACUGAGACCAGUAAGAGGAAUCAGAUGAUGUGAUCACCUCUACUGAAAACUGGUACAAAUUAGCCAAAUCUUGGAGUGAAUAAUAAGACUAUUUGAGUGCCUGAUUGCCUUUCUUUUUCCAGCAGCAAUAAGAGAAAUGGGAGCUUCAUUUUUUAAAAAUCUUUGCUGUUCUUUUGUCUAUCUUUUGUGUGUGCCUUGUCACGCUUUCCACUUAGGGUGCGUCUUAGGUAGAUUGUAGUAAGCAUUACUACAAGUUAAUUUUUCUCUGGGCAGUUGCACAGUAAUGUUUACCACAAUCUAAGUAAAAUGUAUCCCAAGCACCAGAGCCUUUGAAGUCUAUGGUGUGCUGCAGGGGCUGGGAAUGUCAAUUGUCAGUUCCAGUCUGUUCCCCCACCCAGCUGUGCAAGACUGCAGUGUGGUGGGAGGGCAGACACCCAUACUGGAGUCAUGAACUGGUUUCAGUGCAUGACUGAGGCUAGGUCCAACAAACAUCUCUUUGCCAGCCCCAGCUUUGGCACUGCACCAGUGUCUCCUAAUCUUAUUUCCUCCAUGCAGCAGUCGAACAUUAGCUUGAUGUGUUAGGCUAUAUGAUGCGUUAGGCAAGAUGCUCCUCUUUGUAUUCAAAACUCCAAACUUUUCUGUUGUUUUUGCAUAGUAGCAGUGCUAUCAGCUUUGACUUUUUUGGCCUGUUUAUAAACAUGAUACAGCUUAGACAAUCUUGGCAGAGCCAGAUUUUUGCCAAUCUUUUAGGGCCAGGAUUAUGGCAAGUUUCUGCCUGAGGAGUGGCUGACUGUGGACUACAGCUAUAGUCUACAGUUAGCUUCAUGUGUAUGGUGGAAGCUAAUAUUUUGUAACUAAAUUAAAUUUUAAUUUUAAUUUUUCAAAUUUCUAAAUAUUGUAUAUUGUAUAGAUAUAUCUAUAUCCAGUCUCUCCCAGGCCCAGCUGAGGACCAGGACAUCUCUUACAGCCCUGUCAAGGUUGCUCUGAAGUAUAAUGGGGAUUAGACUACUUCUAGGAUAAGGAAGCAAAACAAUGGCCUUUCAUGAUCCAGGGCUGUAUCUAGGUCUAUACCUAAGAACAUGCUUCAGGUGGUAUACAUAAAUCCCUGUAACUGCUUUUUCACUUGGCAAAAAAUAAAGCUGUGUAUGUUUCUAUUCCUGUUUACCAUUACUUGUAAUAAGCAGAGCUUAGAGAGGGAGGUUAUGCAAGGAAAAAACAUCACUACAAACUGGAACUGUGAAAUUAAGUGCGUGUUUAGUUUCUGGUUUGAUUUUUAUUUCCCUGGGAGAGAAGAAUGUUUCAGAGAUUGAAGGAACCUGUAGUGUGAGAAGAACAGGAAAGCUCCUGCCAAAACAAAAUGGAAAGAUAAACAGGAAAAAAAGGAGUUAGUGAUGGAGGAAAAAGUUGCAAAAAAACCUUCAUCCAUAUGUUUCAGUCCUCCACACUUGAGAUCAGGUUAUGCCAGCCUCCUAUUAAACCUAGCAGCGCGUUGCUUUCCUUCACUAUGGCUAAUGAAGUUGUUGAAUAUUUUCCCUUUUCUAUAUUUUGUGCUUGAUUAAGUGUGCGUUUUGAGAAUGAUACCAUAAGUAAAUGAAAAAAGCACUUUGCUCACUGUGCACAGAAAUCUGCAGUUACUUUCCACAGGAUGCAACACAACACCUGAAAACAAAGCAAUCAACUGCUACCAGGCAAAUAGAAAAAGAAAAUGUUACUCAUAAUCUAAGAGAGGCACCAGUGAGGAUCUAUUCAGCCUUAAUGGAAAGUCAGAUAAGCAGGUCUGUAGAAGUUAUGAUACCUGGCCUGAAUUUUGCUGGUCCAACUGAAUGAGCCAGUGGCAACCAACAUAUUAAAUGAAACUAUCUCACUGUCAUCUCUGUCCUUCCCUAGCAGCUGUCUGGAGGGCAAGCUUCAGGUGGUGGCAUGGAGGGUACUCUUGGCAAUGCUCUGUCUAAGGUUACAGUACUUUGCUGGAAAUGUGACAGGCUCUUCAGCUAAAGAGGAUUUAGAACCUGGUCUUUCACUCACUGGGCAAAUGCCUAACUACUAGCAUACUGGGUUGAAACAUGGGAUGAGUUCUUCCUUUUCCUCUGCUAUGUUGUGAUUUACACAGACUUAUAUACCUUCUUGGAGAGUAUGUAUCUGCAUAAGUAGACAAAAUGCCACUUACACAGCUAACUUAGCUAAGUAAAGGCUACUUACCCAGCUACAAAUGAAGUUGGACUUGGGCACGAAUGUAGUACUUUGUGCAUCUUAGAAGCAGCUGUAUGCUGUACUAGCCAGAGGCUCGUGAAAUUUAUAAUGUUUUAAUGGCUAUGCUCUGUGACCUUUGGCAAAGUAUUUGAAUAAUUUUUCCAUUCGGGCAAAUGUAAAAACAGCUACAACACUGGAAUAAUACACAGGAAUUGUAUACAGUUGGAGUUAUUACAGAUUUAUAAAAAAUGACAUGAAUUCUUAUAACUUUUCAUUUGUGCUAUCAAUAUAAUAUUUAUAUAUGUAAAUAUGACAUUCAUUAAUAUUUGAAUAAGCUGGCUAGAAACACUGGCUUACUGGUUGGUGACUAUAUAUACAUAUAAAAACACACUUAUAUACACAUACAGGCACAUACCAGCUAGAACUGCCUUCAGCUCUAUAAUAUAAGAAAAUAAAAAAUAAAGCAUG